rnacentral:rRNA from 1 species
AACCAGCACCUCAAGUGGUCAGGAUGAUUAUUGGGCCUAAAGCAUCCGUAGCCGGCUCUGUAAGUUUUCGGUUAAAUCUGUACGCUCAACGUACAGGCUGCCGGGAAUACUGCAGAGCUAGGGAGUGGGAGAGGUAGACGGUACUCGGUAGGAAGGGGUAAAAUCCUUUGAUCUAUUGAUGACCACCUGUGGCGAAGGCGCCACACUAGAACGGAUCCGACGGUCAGGGACGAAGCCUAGGGGCACGAACCGG